UGGCAUCAGUUUAUCUCCACGUGAGAAGAUCUGGAUGCGCUUAUUUUACUCUCUGCUGUAACUAAGAAAAAAACAAACAGAAACCCUGCAAAGGUUCACUGAGACAGCAGUCAGUCACGAAAAAGGAAUUUGAACCAAGAUAACGUUAGUUACAUUUUACCCACACGUUCCCGAAGCCUGAGCACUACCAGUUGAGCAAACGCGAUUUGGCCCUUCGUCGUGACAUUAAAACUUCACCAAGUCAGCAGUGACUUUGUGUAACGCAAAGAAGCCUCGCACACAGACGCAUGCACGCACGCAGACCUCUUUUGAUACCUCAGGGACACUGAGAACUAAGGGAUUCCGAGGCCAGGUAGGAGUGCUGCAGCCCUGGAAGGAAGCCCGGGCUGUAGGGCUGCCAGGCCCCACUGGUCUUCUACCCAAAGACAGAGGAGAAUGUCUUUCCUGGGUAAACUCUCCUGCCAGUGACCUUCCUGAGUGAUCCUGUCCUUACUGACAGUGCGGGACGCCCAGGACUGGCUGGCUUAUCAGCAAAAUGCACCUCUUUUUAAAUUAAGCUGCCUGUUUUCCCUGAAGAGUAAAGCUCUGUCUAAUCCAAAUAAUAUAGGGGAAAUGUCUGUAACUGUGAUGUCACUGUCUGUGGUUGGAAAUUAAAAAGCAGAGAGGACAUAUGCCGACAUCUGCCUCUGGGAUUUCUUUACCUGUCUCUCAAUACAGUAGCAGAGCCUCUGAGACCUCAGACCAUUCACCGUUAUCUUUGGUCGUCAAGAGGACAAACACCUCUAGCCCUAAAGCAUGCAUUAUCACAAUCAUUGGGUUUAAAAAUAUAUAGAUAGUUUCAAUAAAAGGGAUGACUAGAUUAAAAAAAAUAAGAAAGUUUCUUAACUAA